rnacentral:rRNA from 1 species
CGGAGGAUCCAAGCGUUAUCCGGAAUUACUGGGCGUAAAGAGUUGCGUAGGUGGCAUAGUAAGCAGGUAGUGAAAGCGUGCGGCUCAACCGCAUAUCCAUUAUUUGAACUGCUAAGCUAGAGGGCGAGAGAGGUAGCUAGAAUUCCUAGUGUAGGAGUGAAAUCCGUAGAUAUUAGGAGGAAUACCGAUGGCGUAGGCAGGCUACUGGCUCGUCCCUGACACUAAGGCACGAAAGCGUGGGGAGCGACCGGGAUUAGAUACCCCGUUAGUCCACGCCGUAAACGAUGGAUGCUAGCUGUAAGACGUAUCGACCCGUCUUGUAGCGAAGCUAACGCGUUAAGCAUCCCGCCUGUGGAGUACGAGCGCAAGCUUA